rnacentral:rRNA from 1 species
GACGAACGCUGGCGGCGUGCUUAACACAUGCAAGUCGAACGGAAAGGCCCUGCUUUUGUGGGGUGCUCGAGUGGCGAACGGGUGAGUAACACGUGAGUAACCUGCCCUUGACUUUGGGAUAACUUCAGGAAACUGGGGCUAAUACCGGAUAGGAGCUCCUGCUGCAUGGUGGGGGUUGGAAAGUUUCGGCGGUUGGGGAUGGACUCGCAGCUUAUCAGCUUGUUGGUGGGGUAGUGGCUUACCAAGGCUUUGACGGGUAGCCGGCCUGAGAGGGUGACCGGCCACAUUGGGACUGAGAUACGGCGCAGACUCCUACGGGAGGCAGUAGUGGGGAAUAUUGCACAAUGGGCGGAAGCCUGAUGCAGCAACGCCGCGUGCGGGAUGACGGCCUUCGGGUUGUAAACCGCUUUCGCCUGUGACGAAGCGUGAGUGACGGUAAUGGGUAAAGAAGCACCGGCUAACUACGUG